AGCUGGUUCCCUCCGAAGUUUCCCUCAGGAUAGCUGGAGCCCAUUACGAGUUCUAUCAGGUAAAGCCAAUGAUUAGAGGCAUUGGGGACGCACACUCCUCGACCUAUUCUCAAACUUUAAAUAGGUAGGAUGGCUCGGCUGCUUCGGUGAGCCGUGCCACGGAAUCGGGUGCUCCAAGUGGGCCAUUUUUGGUAAGCAGAACUGGCGAUGCGGGAUGAACCGGAAGCCGGGUUACG
rnacentral:ncRNA from 1 species